CAGUUUGAUCCUGGCUCAGGAUGAACGCUGGCGGCAUGCCUAAUACAUGCAAGUCGAACGAGGAUCCUUCGGGAUCCUAGUGGCGAACGGGUGAGUAACACGUAGGGAACCUGCCCGCGCACCGGGAAUACGCUCUGGAAACGGAGAACAAAUCCCGAUGGGCAGGAAGGAGGCAUCUUCUUCCUGUGAAACAUCCUCUUUUAGGGGGGAUGGGGCGCGGAUGGACCUGCGGUGCAUUAGUUAGUUGGCGAGGGUAAAGGCCCACCAAGACGAUGAUGCAUAGCCGGCCUGAGAGGGCGGACGGCCACAUUGGGACUGAGACACGGCCCAGACUCCUGCGGGAGGCAGCAGUAGGGAAUUUUCGUCAAUGGGCGCAAGCCUGAACGAGCGAUGCCACGUGAGUGAAGAAGGCCUUCGGGUCGUAAAGCUCUGUUGCGGGGGAAAAAAGGCAGCAUCAGGAAAUGGGUGCUGACUGAUGGUGCCCCGCCAGAAAGUCACGGCUAACUACGUGCCAGCAGCCGCGGUAAUACGUAGGUGGCGAGCGUUAUCCGGAAUGAUUGGGCGUAAAGGGUGCGCAGGCGGUCCUGCAAGUCUGGAGUGAAACGCAUGAGCUCAACUCAUGCAUGGCUUUGGAAACUGGAGGACUGGAGAGCAGGAGAGGGCGGUGGAACUCCAUGUGUAGCGGUAAAAAUGCGUAGAUAUAUGGAAGAACACCAGUGGCGAAGGCGGCCGCCUGGCCUGUUGCUGACGCUGAGGCACGAAAGCGUGGGGAGCAAAUAGGAUUAGAUACCCUAGUAGUCCACGCCGUAAACGAUGAGGACCAAGUGUUGGGGGUGAAACCUCAGUGCUGAAGUUAACGCAGUGAGUCCUCCGCCUGGGGAGUAUGCACGCAAGUGUGAAACUCAAAGGAAUUGACGGGGACCCGCACAAGCGGUGGAGCAUGUGGUUUAAUCCGAAGCAACGCGAAGAACCUUACCAAGUCUUGACAUCCCAAUGACGAGUGAGUAACGUCACUUUCCCUUCGGGGCAUUGGAGACAGGUGGUGCAUGGUUGUCGUCAGCUCGUGUCGUGAGAUGUUGGGUUAAGUCCCGCAACGAGCGCAACCCCUAUCUUUAGUAGCCAGCGAGAAAGGUCGGGCACUCUAGAGAGACUGCCGGGGAUAACCCGGAGGAAGGUGGGGAUGACGUCAAAUCAUCAUGCCCCUUAUGAUUUGGGCUACACACGUGCUACAAUGGCGUAAACAGAGGGAAGCGAGCCUGCGAGGGGGAGCAAAUCCCAAAAAUAACGUCCCAGUUCGGAUUGUAGUCUGCAACCCGACUACAUGAAGCUGGAAUUGCUAGUAAUCGCGGAUCAGAAUGCCGCGGUGAAUACGUUCCCGGGUCUUGUACACACCGCCCGUCACACCAUGGGAGUCGGAAAUGCCCGAAGUCUGUGACCCAACCGAAAGGAGGGAGCAGCCGAAGGCAGGUCGGAUGACUGGGGUGAAGUCGUAACAAGGUAACCA
rnacentral:rRNA from 1 species